GCCUGGGCUCCCGGGCCUUGAUCACAACUGACAGAUCCCUAUAGGCAUAAGUCUUGUUCUCAACGAUAUCUUGAGAGGCAAUGAGGAGUGAAACCAGGUUCACAUCCUUGACAUCCAAGAUAUCCUUCCGAAUAUUGGCCCGGGACCAUGUGAGCAGGGUCAACAUCAAGAGGGGUAUGAAUACUACACGACAAAUUACCCUGCCAGCCGAGGGAGGGUCAGCUGGAACUGGAGCGGG